UACGUAGGGGGCAAGCGUUAUCCGGAUUUACUGGGUGUAAAGGGAGCGUAGACGGCGCGCCAAGUCUGAUGUGAAACCCCGGGGCUCAACCCCGGGCAUGCAUUGGAAACUGGCGGGCUGGAGUGCCGGAGAGGUAAGCGGAAUUCCUAGUGUAGCGGUGAAAUGCGUAGAUAUUAGGAGGAACACCAGUGGCGAAGGCGGCUUACUGGACGGCAACUGACGCUGAGGCUCGAAAGCGUGGGGAGCAAACAGG
rnacentral:rRNA from 1 species